UUUAUUUUGUUUUGUUUUACAUACAAACAGCAUCUUGCUCUGUUGCUCAGACUGGAGUGUAUUGGCAUCAUCAUGGCUCACUGCAACCUGGACCUCCUGGACUCAGCCUCUCAAAUAGCUGGAACUACAGACACGCACCGCCAAAUCUGGUUAAUUUUUAUUUUACUUUUUGUAGAAAUAGAGUCUUGCUAUGUUGCCCAGACUGGUCUCGAACUCCUGGGCUCAAGCAAUCCUUUGGCCUCAGCCUCCUAAAGGGCUGGCAUUACAGGCACGAGUCACUGCACCUGGCCAAAAUGUUGGAAUUGUGAUUAUUUCUAAGGAAAGCACCAAAGUCCACACCAUGGCAAAAAUCAGAAUUUUAUUGGACGCCCUCAUGCCUUUACUGCUUUAGUGUGGCUUUCAUGUUGAUUUCCAUAUGGGGGCAUAUUCUUUUAGGUCCAUAGCAACUUUCAAAUUUUCCACCCAGCCCUGCUUAUGAAACAUUUGCUGCUUCCUUUUGGUUUCUCAAAAGGGCACCUGGAAAGUUCAGCUUCAGCAAAACAUGACUAAGUAGAGCAUUUGGAGUCAAAUCUGAGUUUGAGUCCCUGACUUAUCACUCAACCAAAUGAACAUUUGAACACAUUUUUUUUUUUUUUUUUUUUUUUUUUUUUUUUGAGACGGAGUCUUGCUGUGUCGCCCCCGCUGGAGUGCAGUGGUGCGAUCUCUGCUCACUGCAAGCUCCACCUCCCGGGUUUACGCCAUUCUCCCGCCUCAGCCUCCAAGUAGCUGGGACUACAGGCGCCCGCCACCUCGCCCGGCUAGUUUUUUGUAUUUUUAGUAGAGACGGGGUUUCACCAUGUUAGCCAGGAUGGUCUCGAUCUUCUGACCUCGUGAUCCACCCGCCUCGGCCUCCCAAAGUGCUGGGAUUACAGGCUUGAGCCACCGCGCCCGGCCCAUUUGAACAAAUUAAUGAACAAACUUAAUACAACUCAACCCCAGUGAACGCUCUGCCUCUUCAUCUACUGGCCUCAGCAGCACGGCACACAGAGCAAGGCUUGUUUGGGACGAGUCACAGAACCCUGCUCCAGCCAGGAGCCCACCCCUGCCCGCACCCCUCGUGGUGCCACAGAGAACAGCUGUGAACAGUGGGUUACAAACAGAGAGGGACUGGGACAGAGGGCACGAGGGACACGGGGUGACCAAAGCGAGCAGGAGCAGGAAGAGAUGGACCGAUUCACAGCUGACAUGUGGCAUCCUUACACUGGCACUUCCUGGAGGGAAACAAGGGCCGAAGGGGGGAAAUUCAGGUCCAAAUCCAGGUGGGAGAAGAAGAGAGAACCAGUGUAGGGGAAACCUUUAUCGGGAGAAGAGACCUGCGUCCAAGCCCCCAUCUUCCCCUUCCGCUCCGUCGGCUUGGGGGCCCUGGGCCCUGUUCCUCAUCUGCAGCAUGGGGAUGAUAAUAUUUUACUUGCUUCUUGCUAAGAAACUAGACAUCUUUAGGUACUUUCCACUUUGAAAAUCGAUGACUUAAUAGUUUUCUUAAACAACACCAAUAAAAGGUUAUUUGUGUGAAAACAUAACAUUGGCAUAACAAGGUGUG
rnacentral:lncRNA from 1 species